CCUUUCUGGUAGCGGAAAAUAAGAGCGUGUCAAUGCUAUCGACGUAGAUCGAGCUUAUCCUGAACGACCUCGUGUUUGAAUCUACCCGCGGAACAGUCUCGAGUUUAGUUAUGUUUACAGGUGUCGCGCUCGAUUCCCUUCGACACCUUGGCCAGUGAAUGCCGAGAGCUCGGAACGAUCGUUGCGUGACAAGACGAUUUGCGUCGCGUUCACGCGUUUCUCAAGCUAGAAUUUUCGAACGUUUUACGACGUGGUCAUAAACGUACACGUGUUGCGUGUUCGUGGCGAGUGUCGCGAUGCUUCGCGAGUCUGUAUCGAGUAGCGAUAGAAGAUUGAUGUGAUCCGAUGCGAUCGGAACGGCAGCGCGUACUCUGACUGAACGCAGUCCGUAAACCACUUCACGUUAUUAUGUUCGGGACGAGGAGCGAGAUAGAGCUAUCCGCAGCGAUAGAGCGACGAACAUCAACUCGAGACUAUCUUCCGGCAAGUGCGAGGAAAGGGCCUCCACUUCGUGUGCACUUCGCCGACCUGUAACAAGAAGGACCUUCUACUUUGCUGAUAUCGAUGCACUUCGUGGAUUUAUGAACGAUCUACAAAGUAAUUGUGCAGCGAAGCGGUAACGCCAUGGUUGAUGAAAGCUGGGACUUUUUCGAAGAGACAAAGUUGAAGCGCGAAUUUGACAAGAAAGGAAACGCUCUGCAUUAUCCGUCGAUCGUUAACGUUAUGACGAUCGUUUAGUUUCACGCCAACAAUGGAUAAGAUAUGAUUUUUGUUAUUUAUAAGAAAAUUUAACGACUUUGAAUAUUUCUCGCUAGUCAUCAUAACGUUAAUAACCAUUACGAUUAUUGUACCAGAAGACUCGAGAAAUGUUAGAGAAACGAUGAAGAAUCUCGAUCGAUUUCAAUAGCAUGCAAAGUUUCGCAAGAGUUAUUAUGAAAAUUUGAUAAAACUGAACAAGCUUUCUAUUGCAAGAUGCGAGAACGACUAACGAAAGAAGAAUAAAUUGAAUGAUAAAAGAGUUUACUGGAAGCAUCCAUGAAUCAAUUAUACGACCGAGGCAUUUGAUACGAUUCUAUAACGUUUCGCUUUUGGACAUUCGUUUCCCAGCUAUUACGGCUGACCGAACGUUGCGGUUCAAUCGUAAAUGGCGAUUGCUUGCAAAUUUAAUUGAAGUUUUCAUCGAGCGCAGCUUUUCAAAUUAUUGCGUUUCUAUAGUGUCAUAUAUGGAGGGAAAGAGAUGAAGAAUAAAAAAAGGAAAGGAAGAAAGGAUCUCCACUGUAAAUACGAUAGCUUGGGUCUUUUCGUCGCGAUUCGAUUCUCGAGGAAUCGUAUUCAACGAGACGAAUAUAAUGAACCGUGACAACCCGAAAUAACAUUGCGUAAAAAGCAAUCCUCCGAGACGGUCGAUCUGUUUCUUUUAUCCCGUCUGCUCUGUUCAGCAGCAACGCGAACGAACAGAAACUUGUGACGUACGAGUCGCGAUACAAAUUCGCGUCUCAUGAAACUUUCAUUACCGAUUGAUUUCUCGCUUGGUAGCCGAUUUACAAAUCGAGUAUUAAAAUGCGCUCUGGAACAGUCGCGUUUUCACCGACAGACAAAUAUAUCCCUUCUAUCCGUUCCUUUUAACAUCGUCGAAACAGAGAUUUCCGCAUUCGCUAAGGAUUUCCCAAGGGGCUAAUCGUUUCUCGAUUAGUACGGUGACUACUUAUGAAUCGUCGUACGUGAAAAGGACUGUUUAAUUAACGAUUAUUCGGAAGAGAUUUCGAGUUCGACGAUGGUUUCGGUGACUCCAUAGAAAAAUUCUCGCAUGACGAGCAUCAGCGAUAACGGUAUUGUAAUUGGUAGCCGGAGAUUAACGAUAAACCAUAUCAGCUGCUCCGGCCUUUGCCAGCACGGAUUGUAUGCAUAUUGCAUGAGCUUCGGUCUUUUAUUAUUUUUCCUUGCUUUUUUCGUUACUCUUUUAAUACACGACGGUGGUCGUGAUCUCGCCAGUUGAACCAGCGAGAGCAUAAUCAAACUGCUUUGAAAGAAAAAAAAAAAAAAAAAAAAAGAAAAAGUAAAGACAAAAGCUUCGCAACAGGAGAACUAUUUUAAGAGUUAUAUCGAUGAGUUUUCAUCUUGAUGUGUUUAUAGGAAAACUAAGCGAGCUGAAAUUUUCGAGCUCGAUGAAUUACACGAGUAUUUCGCUUUUAGAUGAAACAAAAACGGAUGCAAACGCGUACCGAAAUCGAAGCUUUCUACGAGUUUCUAAAAUUCUACGAAAGCCUUUAAACUCUGUACAACGUUCGAAACGAUAAUAACGUAUAAUUGAAAUAACUGAAACUAGGGAUCCAGAACGACAGUCAAAAUUGUCCCUUAAUUGCGUCCUCGCUUAGCUCUGAAUGAAAAAGAAAGGAAAGAAUAGGAAACAAUUUUCUCUAGUUCUUAGGGGACGAUAAAUCUUCGACGGCGUAACUUAAAGCAUUUUCCUGUAAUUCUCAAAUCGGCGCUCUUAAACGUUCUCAACUUGUCAGCCGAAUUUCCUGUCGGAUUUCGGCUAGCAGUUUGUCCAGGGAUCGUUCUAGGAAAGUUUCCAAGCUCGCGAUAGCUCGCGAUAACUCGCGUUCGACGAACGAAAAACACUCGAGAACGGGAUAGCGUGGCGUCUGCUCGAUUCGAAGGCGAUGUCGGAAACAGGACAGGGAUUUUUCUUACGAGGACGCGUGCAUCGUCGCGUUCGGUCUGUUUCUGUGCGUCACGAGACGCGGUUGGAUCGGAGCCAAAUCGCGGCGACGUCGCACAGAUCGGGAAACUGCGCUUGUCGCCGCGAUUCGACAGCUUCUCGACUCUCGACGAAUUCCUAACGCAAAUAGGAUCGGCGUUCUUAUUCGUUUCGUAGAUUUCGGCCAUCCGGUUGAACGGUCGCUUGCCUGUUUGCUUUAAGGUAACGAUGUUUGCUCGAAAUAUUUAAUAUAUACAGUGCUUCUCUUAUUGAUUUUGCAGAAUAUUUGAUUGGUAAUAUUAUUAUCGUGGUUAGGUUAUUUUUACUACGCAUGGAUGAAGAUAUAGAUAGUCUGUAAUAUAUACAGGCACAUCGAAGUACCUUCUUGAGCCAUCGUAUAAGAAUAACAAAAAUAUGUAUAUUCUAGAACGUAAUCCGAGAAGAUUAACUUUUCUUGCAAAAGGUUUACAUAGAUCGGACGUACAUAUAAAAAUUUGAUACUCUUACUUAAUAACGGGCCUUACAUUGGCGAGUACAGCUUAUCGUUAGUAAUAUCUUGGCAUGCUUUGGAAUAACUUUUUGGCAUAUGAGACAGGUAGCGAGCGUCAUAUUUUUCGAAUAGGAUUUGCUUGAAUUUUAACUUUUGAAUGCGUUUGCUUUGAACUUUGCAUUGGAAAUUUGCAUAUGGACUUUGCAAUGAGAUUUGCAUAGGAAAACUGGGAUGGGGAUUAUAUUAAAACUAUUGCUUUUAAAAAAUCAUGCCGAAAAUCGAUUGACGUAGGGUCCAUGAAAAUAUCUAUCAGGAAAUACGCUUUUUCUGUAACGAUUCUCUGAAAAUAAAUUUUCAUUAAAGCGUCAUACGAAUAAUACCGAUCGAGCUCGUAAGAUCUCAUCUCUCAGACUUGUUUACUUGAUUGACGCAGUAGAGGCAUACGUAUUUAACAGAGAUACAUUAAGUGUUUCGAACAGCGUAGUAUUUAAUGAUAAUUUUUCUUGGAAAGGAUUAGACUCAUCCUUAAGUAAGAACGUAUUAGUACCUUGUUACAAAGAAAAUUCAUCUUCAGAGAUAUUUCUUCCGAAGUAUCGUAGCUUGCAGCUUCACUAGCAAUAAAGUAGAUAGAAAAUAAAAAGAGAGAGAAAUAGAACAUGAGCCAAAAGCUGGGAUAAGAAUUAGAGUAAGUUGGAAGACUAGAACAAUAGAGUGAUGUAUCCUGGCGGGACCUGUAGCCUGUACUUUGAAACUUCUCGUACAAAAUAUAGUGGUAACAUAGAAAACGCGGGGGAAAAAUAAAAUUUGCGGACAGCACUCUCUAAAGUGCCAUCUAAGCGAGACGAGGUUUCCCUGUUGAAGCUCCGGUCUCUUCUUCCUUUUCUUUUUUUCUUUAUUCGAAACCUCGCCCUUGACGUCACACUGAUGUAUCUUUAUUUUUACACAAGCACUACAUGAUGCAGUCCAACGUUUCGGUGUUACGUUUAUAAUACGCGAUAAGAGGCGAUGAUAUAUGAACGUGGAUCGUACAGACCUCGCUUAAAGUGUAUAUUACUGGCGCGAAGAACUGGGAUUGCAUACCUAUAUCCCGUAUCUCACAGGAUGAUGUAAAUCGAAUCUUAAAGCUAACAGAAUCGUCGUGGAGCAAUAAGAAUCGUACUUGCGUGAGAACAACGGUAUAUACAGGGUGGUUGGUAACUGGUGGUACAAGCGGAAAGGGGGUGAUUCUAAAAUUUUUAUUCUAUAUUUUCGACUCCUUUUUUCGCGUAGAAUCACCUCCUUUCCGCUUGUACCACCAGUUACCAACCACCCUGUAUAAACAUUCACAGUUCGAGACAAUUUCGAUAAUUCGGACUCGAGAUAUUUAUGACACAUUCUCGGAGUAAGUCGUGAACGAAAGAAAGAAAGGCAAAUUACAUCGAUAAGAAUGGAUUAGGGAGAGAGUGCGAGAAAGCUUCAUUCCACUGUGUCGUAAUAUCGUUCAAUGUUUGAUAUUUAAACACGCGUUCGCGUAUUACCAUUAAUGUGAUAAAUUGGCCUUAAAUCAUUUUAUGUACACACGAGCGAUGAUGUUGCCAUCAUUAAACACGAAAGAUCUAUCGAGAAUCACGCAAUUAUUUUACUAUCUUUCGUAAAAAAGAUCUCCUCGUGACUCACGAGAAUGUUACGAGUCUCUUAAAACACCCGGGAAAAACAAACGAAUGUUAUUAACUUAUUACCGUGUGACUAAUAAGACUUUAAGUAUGGGCGUAAUGCCGAUAAGAAGAGAAACAUCUCUCGCGAAAUUACAUCUGGCCUAUUCUUCAACUGAUUUCAAGGAACGAGAGAACGAAAAGAAGAGGAUGCAAAGUACACUCUGCGCUAAAAAUACAUAUUUGUUUAAACGAGUCUGUUGUGCGUUCAUUAAAUACGUCGCUGUACGCAAAUACUGUUUCAUUAAACGUUUCGAGAAACGUUUUGCGUUACGAAAAUAUGCAUCGAUGUCUGUAACUGUGACAUUGGUAAAAAUACUUGAUCUAGAGAGAAAAACAUUCGUGAAAUAUGCCACAUAAUUCGUCUAUCAGAAGUCGAUCGCCCGGCCCCCGGCAAACAGAGAUCUAUCUUAAUUAGCAACUUCAUUAACGACGAUAAGGACAUUAUUCGACUCAGUGCUCGCAUCAUCUGCGGCAGAUCCAGAUCUUGCGUCACUUCCACUAUUAUCAAUCAUAGAAUUCGAGUUCUCUCUUCAACGUUAAUCGAGAGCGAAGAGGGAUAAGCAAUUUAUACCGCGAUAAAUACCAAUCUUCCAUUUAACGAGAAUAUUCGUGUUAAACGAUAGCGAAAUUUAUCCAUACCUUUCUUUAAUAUAGUCGAGAGUAUCAAUUAGAAAGUUCGUACGAGCGCCUGCAUCGCCUACAUCGAGUGUAAUAAAUAAUACAUCCAUUACCUCGUUAACGAAUGUUAAUGCAAAACAAAUGAUUUCUAUAAAACGAAAAAAGAAAUGAAAAAAAAGAUGAUCUCAUUGCGACUGUUUAGAACAAUGAUGAAUAGGUGAUGAAUGUUUGUGCACGGUGUUAGCUGCCAGAAUGCAAAGUUUAUUUUUGUCGAUUAGGCAACUGGAAUGCAAUAGUAGUUGUUUCUUUCAUAAAGUAUUUUUGGCAAUGAUACUUGACAACGAGCGACGUUUAUUUCUCGCGAAUGUCUCAUGAGUGUUUAUUUCUUUAUAUGAGCGAAUAACAAAGUUUAAUCAGGUCGGUACUUGAGAGCGAGCUACAUCUCGAUAUUUGUUACUUAUUAAUCGAUUCGUUAUUUUUUUUUUUGGGGGGGGGGCAAUGAAUCGCGCGUAAUUUACAGGCAAGAAAAUAUAAUAUAACAAGAGAUUCUAUUAUAUCUUGAAAAUUGUCCCUCGUGUUCGCAUACAUCGUCGCGUAUUGCCUAAAUACUCAAGGAACGAGUAAGAGAAUCUUACGCAAUCAAAGCGUCAUUGAAGGUCGAUGCGAGGUGAAUUUGCAGAUUGAAGCUCUGCUCGCGAGCCACUGUAGCUCAAAAGACAUCCUCAUCGAUAAUUUCAUUAUAUUGUCAAAAUCGACACGGCCCGAUGGUGUCUGCAUUUGAGCACGAUUGCCAGCCCACUUCUGGAUGAGUUGAUCCUCACGGUGCACUACGGUACGUCAUUGCGCAUUGCUGCGCCAUCGUUACACUUGGCUAUCCUCCAGAUGCAUCGGGGACCGAUGGCGAGCGCCAAGGGCCAGAAAAGUUCGACUCCUGGUCGAUUCUGGAGUCGCGACGUGAUUUAAAUUUUCGCCGAAGUCGAUCGAACUCGUUCCAUGAGACUUUAGAUCUCCCCAGAUUCGUUAGAGUAUUCUCUUUGCUGCACUUGCACUCUGAUUAACUUUACUCGGUCUGAUUAAAGACCGUAUAAUCCCCUGUGUUCCGUGAAAGAUUUUCGCGUUGGUUUCGGCAGUCGUUCUUGUCGUGCAACUUUAUAAAUUAUGCGCGGCUGCUUUUUCGUUCAUUUUGAUGAUUAAUCUAUCCCACUGCAAGGACAAUUAAUUUAUCAGCGUCGAGACCGCUGCGGAUUAUUUGUUCAACUGAAUACAAGUAUGUGGAAGUUACGUUUUGCUGCGUUUUAUUUGAGUUGGAUCGUUUUAUCGAUCUCUGCGAUUUAUUAUUAGCUCGACCCGCCAAUUAUAAAUUACAACGAAAAUUCACGAACAACGUGGAGUACUUCUAUUACAGAAAGUUAACCACACUUCGUUUGUCAAUUUCGAUCUAACUAACGAGUCACGGUUAAAUUUAAUUUAAACAUAAGCUAAAUUACCACAUAUACAUAUCUACAUACAGCAAGUCUGUAUCGCGGAAUGAAAUCUAAAGCCACAUUUUAAAAAAGUUUCCGUUUGAAUUGUUGUAUGUCAAUAUGGAUUCAGUUUUUUAUCAAAAUUUUUUGCUAGCUCUAAGCGCAAAAUAUAUAUCGGGAGAAUUCCAUCCAAUAGUUUCAACGGUUACAUCGGCGAAAAUUUUUCAAUCGUUUAUGGUGACAGAAUCGAUGCUCUGACACCUGACGCGUGACGACAGUUGCAUCCAAUGCGAUCAUCAAUCGGCCAACGAUCGUCGCCAGAACUCGACACGUUUUCACAUUUGAUGAGUCAACACAUCGCGAACGAAUUCGCUGUUUUUACUCGGAUAGUGCGAUCGUAAUCGUGAAUCGCGAUGAUUAAUCACGUUUUAUAUCUUUCUCAGAAAAUUGCCUUAAUGUUUCUCGUAUCUUGUAUCUAUAUUCAUAUGAUAGACUCGACAUUUACGUUUA